rnacentral:lncRNA from 1 species
AGAUAUGAUCCGUUCAACUUCAAUCUAACCAAAUUUGAACAUAAUACUAAAAAAAAAAGGAACAGAAAACAAAUGAAAUUACUACCAUCACCUGUUACUUUGCCGCUAUCGCCUUCCAAUGAUACUCAUAUAUUUACCCACAAAUGUUAGUGAAUUGGAAAAUUAAGAAGUGUGAAAGUAAUUGAGCAGCAACCGAGAAAGAGAGGAAAAUGAAGGGGGGAAAAAGGAGGUAUGAGCAAGAUUGAUUGAAAAAACAUAUCUAGAGCUUGAACACACAGCAACAAAAGUGCAAACAUCCUUGAAACUCGAGAGCAAGAACAGUAGCGAGGAGAAAUCCACUGAAAGUAAAAAAAAAAGAAAGGAACCUACGAAAAUUCAAUUACAUUCAUACCUUUAGCGUGUGAAAGACAUAACAGCCAACAUGAUGAACCACUUUCCUUGCUGCAGCAAAAGAAGGGAAAAAAAUCAAGUACUCCAUAUAAAAUGACUCGAGACAAACAUCAAAUAAAUGCGAGUCCACAAUCCACUUCUAAAUUUCAGUCAUUUUUUAUAGCUUAAAUUUUGCCACAUGACGAUGUAAUUAUGCACUUAUUAGAUAAUAACAAUGAAAAAAUUAAUCAAAGAGACAUAACGCAUAUGUAGAUCAAGUAAAAUAACUAAAAUAUGUACUUGAAAUUCUGGCCAGAAAUUAUAUUAAAAAACAAUAAGAAAGUAAAAAAUAUACAAAAUAUACCAAAUUAGUAGCGAUAAUAAUAAAGCAAGAUCAGAAAAAAUCCGUCCAAUUCUUACCAAACAAUAGCCUGAAUCUCGGAGGUUUGUAGAGAGGAUUAGUAAACAGUGAAGAAAAAAGAUGUUAAGGCAUAGUCAUUCUUGAUAUCUAAGAUUUUUGUGAGACAGUCUAACUUCUGCACUAAUUAAUUGUCUAUAUAGAGAUUAAAUUCAUCAAAUAAAUACAAUGCAUGUGCAAAUGAAGCAGUUAGUAACAUACAUGUAGAAAUCUUUAGCUAGAAACUAUAUUCAAAAGAGUAGGAAACUAAGGUCCACAUACCAAAUUGUGAUUACUUUUAAUUACUGAAUCUCAAAGAACUGAAGAGACCAUCAGGCAUGACCUCGUAAAAACUAAUAAGAGCAAACAAAAAUGAGACUUGAAGAAACAAAAAGGUAGACACGUGUCCAAGAAGAAACAAAUCAUGGGACUACAAUUAAAGUGCAAUACACGUGUCUACUUGAGAAGCUAAGAAAAAUUAAAUCGUUGAUAAUACAACUAUCAACUUACGUAACUUUGUGUACAAUUAUGUGAUGCAGAGUUCGUCCCAUGCUUGUUUCAUGACUUCAAGCUUGUCCCAAUUUGUAGAUGUAGAUGAAGUUAAGCCCAUGAGUCAUCCGUCUUCUCUCCCUCGAUAUGUAGUUUUCCUUUUUUUAGAAGAAAAUCAAUGGGAGCAAAACUGAACACGUGUAACUAUUUCACAUUUCAAUAAGCUAUAGAGAGUAAAUGUUGAAUCUCUAACAUUCUAAUACUUCUAAAGUACAAAAUCAGCACAAUGUGAACGUAAAGGAAGAAUCUAGAACUUAGAGAGAAAAUAUCUAAGGAAGAAGAAGACUCUAUUAUUGAUCAAAAAACUAUGGAUUACAAUGAUAGAAGGGCUAUUUAUACAUCACAUUAUCUGUUAGUAACUAACCUUCUUUUAACUAAUAUUUUGUAGGUUGUUAUAACUAACUAAUGGAAAUGACUAGUUUACCCUUAACUAACUAUAACCGUGUUAACACACCACUUGGCUUUUCAUAUCUCAACACUCCCCUUCAAGCUAGGUAGUGCAAAAAUGUUUAGCAUUCCUAGCUUGGAUAUAAGAUGUUCAUGCUGCAGUCUGGAUAGUCCUUUAGUCAUUAUAUCAGCAGGCUGUUUUUUGGUAGGUAUGUAAUUGACUUUGAUUAGCCCCUGUUGCAACCUUUCUCUUAUAAAGUGACAAUCGAUCUCAAUGUGUUUGGUCCUCUCGUGAUACACUGGAUUUGCAGCAAUCUAUAUUGCUGCUUUACUAUCACAAUAUAUCUGAACUGGUAAUUGUAUUUCAGCACCUACUUCUUUUAAUAAUCCAAGCAGCCACACUAGUUCAGACACGGUAGACGCAAGACUUCUGUAUUCAGCUUCUGCUGAACUUUUUGAAACUAUGGUUUGCUUCUUAGCUUUCCAAGACACAAGAGAACUCCCUACUUUGAUCAUGUAUCCAGUUACAGACUUCCUGGUAAGUGGACAAGAUGCCCAGUCUGCAUCACAAAAUGCAGUAACCUUUUGAUCAGAGGAACUGGCUAAUAAUACUCCCUGUCCAGGUUGUCUUUUUAGAUAUUUCACCACUCUUAGUGCAGCAUCCAUAUGUGACUUCUUUGGUUGCUGCAAGAAUUGACUUAAGGUCUGAGUGCUGAAUGAUAUAUUAGGCCUGGUCAUGUUGAGAUACAAUAAUUUCCCUAUUAACUUCUGAUACAUUGUUACAUCUACCAAGGGAUUUUCCUCCUAUCCUUUAUGUAUAUGAUCAUCAUACAACUUAGAUGUUAGUUUGACAUUAAUGUCAAUGGGAGUUCCAGCAGCCUUGCUGCUGACAGAUCAACUUUAGUUAUAAGUUCCAGGGCAUAUUUCCUCUUAUGCAUAAGUAUGCCAUCAACUGACCUGAUGAAUUCAAUUCCCCUAGAUCCUUCAUCUUAAAUGCUUGUUGUAAUGCUUUCUUUGUCUCUUCAAUCAUCUUCAGACUGCUGCCAGUUAUUAACAUAUCAUCCACAUACACUAGUACAAUCACAAUCCUUUUCCUCUGAUCUAUUAAUGAACAAAGAGUAGUCAUGUGGACUUUGUUUAAACCUGAGUUUGAUGAGAGCUUCUGUUAGCUUAUGGUUCCAUUGUCUUGGAGCCUGUUUGAGUCCAUAAAGAGACUUUGUCAGUCUGCACACCUUCUCCCCUUGAGUGACAAAACCCUGAGGUAACUGCAUGUAAAUUUCAUCUUCUAAAUCACCAUGUAAAAAGGCAUUAAAGACAUCCAUCUGAUGAAUGUGCCUUUGUCUAAAGGCAGCCAGAGCCACUAUGGUUCUCACAGUGACCAUCUUAACAACAGGGGAAAAAGUCUCAUGAUAGUCUAUCCCUUCUUGCUGACUGUAGCCCUUAGCAACCAACCUUGCUUUGAAUCUCUCUAUUUCACCAGUAGAUUUGUACUUUACUUUGUAUAUCCACCUACAGCCUAUAGGUUUCUUUCCUAUUGGCAAGUCAGUGAGAACCCAAGUGUUAUUGGUCUCCAGAGCAUGUAUCUCAGUUUGCAUGGCCUCUACCCACCUUUUGUCUUUAAUAGCUUCUGCAUAGGACACAGGUUCUUGGACAGUUGAAGUAGCAGCAAUAUAACAUUUAUAAGAAGGAGACAAGUGAGCAUAGCUCAUGUAGUUGCACAGUGGAUAUUGCACAUCCUCACUGAUAUUCAAGGAGACAAAAUCUUGCAUCCAUGUAGGAGUAUGUGUAGUUCUAGUGGACCUUCGGGUAGGUGCUUGGACAGCAUCCUGUGUUGAGUCACACACAGUGGUAUCAAUAACCUGAGCACUUCCAUCUUGUACCUGUUCUACUUCAGGCAUAUGAGAACUUGAAACUUCUUCACCACCUUCUGUAAGAACAACUUCAUCAUCACACCGUAGAGGCAUAUGAGAGAACUGAUUAAAAUCUUCAUACAUCACACCUGAUCCUUGGACAGUGUCCUCAAACACAGUGUGAGUGUUCAGGCUAUUCUCCUUCUCCUGGGUAAAGGGAAAGACAUCUUCCCUAAAAAUAACAUCUCGACUGACAAAGAAGGACCUGUUGGUUAUAUCAAAUAGUACAUACCCCUUCUGAACAUCUGAAUAUCACAUAUGAACAGCUGAUCUUGACCUGGACAUCAGUUUAUCAUGUUCACAUAGAUUUUUAGCAAAGCACAAGCAACCUAUUGUUCUUAAAUGAGACAGACCUGGUGAGCACCCAUACAAUCUCUCAUAAGGAGUUUGAUGAUCUAUCACACUACUUGGUAAUCUAUUGAUCAGAUAUACUACUGCCAGAACACAGUGCCCCCAAAAUGUCAAAGUAAUUUUAGCCUGAAACCUGAGUGCUCUUGUAACAUCAAGUAUAUGCCUAUGUUUCCUCUCAGCAACACCAUUUUGCUGAGGGGUAUAGGGGCAAGAUCUCUGAUGUAUAACUCCCAAAUCUUUAAACAUUGUAUUGCAUACUGAGUUAAGAAAUUCAGUUCCAUUGUCAGACCUUACCAUUUUAACAGUCGUACCAAACUGAGUCUUAACAUAUUGCAAGAACAACUUAAGAGACACAUGCAUAUCAGACUUAAGUUUGAGUAAAAAAAUUCAGGUCAUUCUUGAAAAAUUAUCCACUAUUGUGAGAAAGUACUUGUUACCAUCAAAGGUAUGUGUGUUAUAAGGACCCCAUACAUCAACAUGUAUCAACUCAAAACAAGCAUUACUUUUAAUACUACUUGAAGGAAAAGGUAAUCUUGUCUGCUUAGCACAAGGACAAACUGUGCAUUUAGAAACCUUACACAUAUUGUCUUUAUUCAUAUCAAACAUUCUAGCAAGGACUACAGAAGACACAUGUCCUAAUCUUUGAUGCCACAAUUAUAUACUGGAGAGCACUCUAGGAACAACCCAAACAGACUUCUUCACUUCACUUUCAGUUCCAUGUGUCAACUGGCUUAACAACAAAUACAAUCCUCCUUCCUCUUUACCAACCUCCUUCACCUUUCCAGUGUAAAGUUCCUGGAAAACACAAAAAUGAGGAAAGAAGGUGACUGAGCAACCUAAUUCCUUUGUGAUUUUACUUACAGACAACAAAUUAUGUUGAAAGUUUGGCAGGUGAAACACAUUUGUAAUGACACUGUUAGCUGACAAAUCUCAAGUACCCACAUGAGUCACUGUAGUAGUAUCACCAUUUGGAAGAUAAACAAUUUUAGGAGUAUCAAGUUUUGUCACAGAAUUCUUGGACAACAUUUUCAAGUUAGACACCAUAUGAUUUGUAGCACCCGUAUCUAUAAUCCACACCUUAUUAUUUGCAGAGACAGAGAAUGCUUUACCUGCAGUAUUCACUGCACUGCACUGCAAUCAGGUAUAGCUUGAUCUUGUUUUUGCUGUUUAAACAUUCUAAGAAUGUGAUCAUACUGAUCCUUUGUGAACGUGCACCCCUGAAGUAGUUGCUUGACAUCUUUCUUAGCUUGACUUAAUUGCAUAUUAGCUUUAGUAUUCUCAGCUAUAGAUUCACCACCAAAGCUAUGAUAAGGAGAACUUUCAACUUUCUUUCCCCACUCAGGAACCUAUACAUUAGUGUUGGAACCAUAAGAGAAAUGAGCCUGAGCUGCUGAAGAUUGACUGUACUGUCCAGAUUCACUUCCCUGACCCUUUCUUUUAGACUUGAAGUCAAGUGGAUAUCCUACAAUUUUGUAACAAAACUCCUUACUAUGUCCUUUACAUUUGCAGAAAUCACAAACUAGCAGAUAGUUCUUCUUGUACCUUUGACUCACCCCUGAGCUACUACCAGCUUUGGAAUAUAAGGCAACAGAUUCCAUAUUCAUAGCACUCAGUCCCAAACUACUACUGGAUGUAUGAACUACUGCUUUUUGACUCUCAUCUCCCACAAUCAUAGCAUAUGCAUGAUUAAUGGAUGGUAAAGGGUUCAUCAUAAGAAUUUGGCUCCUAGCUUGGUGAUAUGAUUCAUUCAAUCCCAUUAAGAAUUGAUAUAAUUUCUGCCUAUUCAUAUGUUCCACAAAACCUUUUGAUUUUUCACAAUUACAACAAGGAGAUGGUACCAACACCUCAAACUCAUCCCAUAAGGUCUUAAGUCUUGUGAAAUACACAGAUACAGAAGCAGUACCCUAUUGUAAUGAAACUAUAUCUUUGUGCAAACUGUAUGUCCUAGAUCCAUCCACUCUAUCGAAUCUUUCCUUCAAGUCAUUACACACAUUUAAAGCACUUGAAGCAAAAGCAAUACCACUCAACAAGCUUUUAGAAACAGAAUUCAUUAGCCAGGAUAAUACUAUAGCAUUAACUCUUUCCCAAUGUCCCCAUAGUUCCUCACUAUAUACUUCUCUCCUACAACUCUCAUCAAUCAACCCUAACUUGUUUCUUCCUAACAAGGCUAGCUGAAUCGAUCUACUCCACAACAUAUAAUUUUCAAUGCCAAGCAAUUGAAAAGAAAUCAGGUUGAUCCCACUGAUAUCAGUUGGACUCAAAAACAGAGGAUGAUUAUAGUUGAUACCUUGAUUUGAAGAAGAACUGCCAUUGUUAUGAGCAGAUGUACCAACAUUUUGACCAAUAUUGAGAUUCUGAGCCAGAUCCACUGCUACAUGAUCAGGAGCCAUUGAUCAAACUCUGAUUCAACACCUGACUGGAACUGCUUUGAUGAAUCUCUUUUCGCGGAAGCAAAAAAAUGCAAAUUUCAAACUGAAAUCUGCCGCUGAAGGAAAUCAGCAACAAUGAAUCGAUGGAUCUACAACGAUCCUUUGAUUCUAGAUCUAACUCGUCUUCACCAGUAGCUACUGGGAAGAGAGCUCUGAUACCAUGAACGUAAAGGAAGAAUCUAGAACUUAGAGAGAAAAUAUCUAAGGAAGAAGAAGACUCUAUUAUUGAUCAAAAAACUAUGGAUUACAAUGAUAGAAGGGUUAUUUAUACAUCACAUUAUCUGUUAGUAAUUAACCUUCUUUUAACUAAUAUUCUGUAGGUUGUUAUAACUAACUAAUGGAAAUGACUAGUUUACCCUUAACUAACUAUAACCGUGUUAACACACCACUUAGCUUUUCAUAUCUCAACACAAUGCAACAACCAAAAGGAUUUCAUCCAUCUGAUGAAGUGAUGGCAAAAUAUAGAAAUGCUUGCUGAAAGAAAAAGAAUAACAGAUCCCAACUUAUCAUUAUCAUACAACAUUAGCAAAACGGGCAUUUUAACUCUAAUAUUACCAAAAAUCUGAAUGAAAGGUAUUUGCUGGAAGGAAAAAAUAACAACAUUCAACCUAUCAGUAUUACAUAGCACCUGCAAGGCAAAUAUUUAAACUAUGAUAUUACAAAACAACAGAAUGAAUGGAAAUAUAGAAUUGGUAGACGAUGGAAUGACAAACAUGAAGGAGUAAGGAUACAUAACAUUCAGAAAUAACUAAACUUCCUACCUCUUUAGUGUUCCAUAAUCAUCCAUAUUUCUGUUUUGCUCCUGAUUUAGAAUGUACCCUGUUUUAAGUUUCAAAGAUAAUGUGGAAUCACUGUCAAAGGGUCAAGGGUAAGUAUAUUUGUCGAUUUUGUGCCGCACAUGUUAUAUGUAGCCACAUGUAUAGUAUUUUUGUCGGACCCAUGUAGUAGCCACAUGUAUAGUAUUACAAAGAUGAUGCAGAAGAUUAAUGUACAUAACAAUUAUACCUAAUCUAUGAAAUUCAC